rnacentral:rRNA from 1 species
AUGUAGCGGGGCUCAAGCACACCACCGAAGCUGUGGCAUUGACACACUGCUCGGCCAGUUUUCCUGCGGGGUUCUGGUCCAGGCGUGUUGAUGGGUAGGGGAGCGUCGUGUGGCCAGGGAAGCGGCGGAGUGAUCCAGCCGUGGAGGCCACACGAGUGAGAAUGCAGGCAUGAGUAGCGAAUGACGGGCGAGAAACCCGUCCGCCGAAUAACCAAGGGUUCCAGGGUCAAGCUAAUCUGCCCUGGGUAAGUCGGGACCUAAGGCGAGGCCGACAGGCGUAGUCGAUGGACAUCCGGUUGAUAUUCCGGAACCGGCGAAGAACCGCCCAUGACGAACCUAGUGAUGCUAAACGCCCAAAGCUGUUGUCCAAGACCUUCGGGUUGAGGGUUUCAGUGGAGCGCGUGACCCGAUCUAGUAGUAGUCAAGCGAUGGAGAGACGCAGGAAGGUAGCCUCCGCGUGGCGAUGGUAGUCCACGUCCAAGGGUGUAGGGCGAGCUGUAGGCAAAUCCGCAGCUCACAUAGCCUGAGACCUGAUAGUGACCGCGUAUGCGGGAAGCAGGGUGAUCCUAUGCUGCCAAGAAAAUCUUCUAGCGAGGUUCGAGCCGCCCGUACCCCAAACCGACUCAGGUGGUUAGGUAGAGAAUACCAAGGCGAUCGAGUGAAUCGUGGUUAAGGAAUUCGGCAAAAUACCCCCGUAACUUCGGGAGAAGGGGGGCCCAGAGGGUGAAGGCACUUGCUGCCUAGCCUGAACGGCCGCAGAGACCAGGGAGAAGCGACUGUUUACUAAAA